rfam:Oryza sativa Japonica Group DNA, chromosome 4, cultivar: Nipponbare, complete sequence.
UGAAAAUAAUACUCUAUCCGUUCAUAUCUAGCGUUUAAAUGUUCGUCUUAUUUGAAAUUUUUUUAUGAUUAGUAUUUUUGUUGUUAUUAGAUCAUAAAACUUGAAUAGCACUUUAUGUGCGACUAUUUCUUUUUUAAAAAUUUUUUUUAUAAAAUUUUCAAAUAAGACGAACGGUCAAACGUGGACACGGAUUCUCAUGACUGCACUUAUU